CGGGGGUCAGGGUUCGAUUCCGGAGAGGGAGCCUGAGAAACGGCUACCACAUCCAAGGAAGGCAGCAGGCGCGCAAAUUACCCAAUCCAGACAAUGGGAGGUGGUGACGAAAAGUACCGAAUGACAGCCUCUGGUUGUCAGUUUGGAAUGGAAACAAUUUAAGAAAUUGGUUUGAGUAACGACUGGAGGGCAAGUCUGGUGCCAGCAGCCGCGGUAAUUCCAGCUCCAGUAGCGUAUCUCAAAGUUGCUGCGCUUAAAACGCUCGUAGUUGGAUCAAGUUGCGUUUGUGAGUGGGUGUGCAAACAACUGCGCUUCUGUCUUAGGUAUGGCCAGAGCAUGCGUUCCCGUGUGUUUUGGCGACCGGACGGCAAAGUAUUUGCUACUUGAAAGCUCGCAAAUGAAAAUUGCACGUGAGGAUGAUAGUUGACCUUGAGUGCGUUGGCAAUCGUGUCUCACGGAGUGUGCCUUGAGUAAAUCAGAGUGCUUAAAGCAGGCAGUGAUGCUUGAAUGUUGAUAGCAUGGAACGAACAAUCGUGUAUGGUGUGUGCUGAGUAAAGUGUGUAGGUGUGAGAGCGCCUGCACACUUCAGCACACGACACCGACCACCAAUUACGGAUGUUGGUUCCGUAUUGGGGUACUGAUUAAGAGGAGCGGUUGGGGGCAUUGGUAUUUGGCAGCGAGAGGUGAAAUUCUUAGACCUGCCAAGGACUAACAAAUGCGAAGGCAUCUGUCCAGACCGUAUCCAUUAAUCAAGAACGAAAGUGAGAGGUUCGAAGACGAUCAGAUACCGUCCUAGUUCUCACUGUAAACGAUGCCGACCCGGGAUCAGUUUGGAGCAAGUAUCCACGCUCGAGGUUGGUCCCCCUGGGAAACCUAAAGUUUUUCGGUUGCGGGGGGAGUAUGGUCGCAAGGCUGAAACUUAAAGGAAUUGACGGAAGGGCACCACCAGGGGUGGAGCCUGCGGCUUAAUUUGACUCAACACGGGAAAACUUACCUGGUCCGGACGUCAAAAGGAUAAACAGAUUUGCGAUCUUUUUUGAUAUGAUGAUUGGUGGUGCAUGGCCGUUCUUAGUUCGUGGAGUGAUUUGUCAGGCCGAUUCCGGUAACGGACGAGAUCACAGUCUCCAUUUGAGGCGCCGAAGAAGGCGGCAGUAAUUGUGGUUUGAAACUUGAAAAAGUGACGGACACAAAGAUUGUCGAUGGGGAGUGUGAGGGCGGACAUGCAUUCAAGGUUAUGUGGUGCCUUGCGGUAACAGAUAACGGAGAAGAGUGGUCGACCUCGCGUUCUCCCUUCGGUGAAACAGUGAGCUGAUCGAGAGAUGAGUGAGCUGUAUCAUGGAGAGACAACGGAAUAUAUUCCAAAAUCCGAGGAAGUGUGGCUAUAACAGGUCUGUGAUGCCCUUAGAUGUUCAGGGCUGCACGCGCGCUACAAUGGCGGUGACAGCAAGUGUCUGGAUCGAAAGAUUUGGGUAAUCUUGAAUCACCGCCGUGAUGGGGAUCGACGUUUGUAAUUACGUCGUGAAAUAGGAAUCCCUAGUACGUGCGAUUCAUGAGAUCGCGCGGAUUCAGUCCCUGCCCUUUGUACACACCGCCCGUCGCUACUACCGAGUGAAUGGUGCCAUAAUGCCUUGGGAGCGGACGUCGUUACCAGGUUAACGCCCGGGAGGACGCUGCA
rnacentral:rRNA from 1 species